CUUGGCCUCCACCACAGUGGCAAACUGCUCCAGAGCCUGUACUGCCUGAAGAGAUGUGGACAGUGCAGGGCUCAGAGGGGCCGUCGGCUACAGUCCCUGACGCAGGCUCUCCUGGACCCCUGGCCACUUACCAGCUCACCGCUCCGAUUCAACUCCGGGUGGACAAUUCCACUGAGACUCAGGCCGCUGCCCAGCCCUGCCCGCCUGAGAGGAAGAGGGAGAAUGACUGCCCUGCAGAGCCACAAACAGCCGAAGGAUGUCAUUUGUCCCCUCAAAGAUCCGGAAGAUGCGAAGAUCUCGGAGCACACGCUCUACUCCAGGUUCCUAGCACAGGGCCACACAAAUUAUAUGCCCCUGCUGAGAUGUGCCUACCCACCCCUGGCCCAACCGAGGCUCAGAAGACCGUCCUGUACCUUCAUGAAGCCCAUACCCCCCAUGAUUUGGAUGCAUUCAUCUGUCACCUUCCAGGCUGCCUCCUAGGGACAAAGAACAGAUGAGACUGGUUGUGGGAGCUGAGCUCCCAAACUGGACUCCCUCCCAGCAUGCCUGGGACCUCACCGAGCCAAAGAUUUUGCUGAUGGCGGCCUCUAUCUGGAAGUCCGUUGAUCCCUGGUCCAUGUUAGCACUCACCAUGUAAGCCAUGGACUGAGGUUGCAUGGUUGGGACAUGGGAAGGAAAAUUGCAAAGGGCUUUGUCAGACUUGGCUUCAUCACCCAGAUCUCCAAGAUUAGGGAUGACCUAGCUUGUUAGGUCAGGCAAAUA